UUUUAAAUUUUUUUACCGCGUGGUGAAGAAGCAAGGAAGAAAAAUGGAGGACAUUUUUUUAUCAAACUUAAUACCUUUAUUGGAAGCUCUGUUGGAAGGUAAUAUGCUUUAUUUAAUAUCAAUCCUUGUCGUAGAGUACUUAGAUUGCCAAUAUAGAUGGAAAUUUAGGACAUCGAGCCCGAAUUUAAUGCGAUAUUUCGGCAUAAAGUUUGUGCUUUUUCUUUGCUGCCUUUGCACGUGGUGCGUUUGUCGAACUUUAAACCGUGUUUUAAUUCAUAAUUAUUGUCGACCAAUUGAGUAAAAAGACUAAAUAACAUCUAGAAUUGUUUAAGUUGUCGAAAAAAGUUGUUAUUUCUGAGUUAUUGCCAAAAAUUUUUAUAUUUAUAAUGCCAUAUAUUAAAAAGAGAGGAGGCGCUUCAAUGGUGAGACGAAUAUUUCAAUUCAUCAGCUUGUACAUGCAUUUCAAUCUUACGACAAAAUAUUUCAACGUUAUAUAAUUAUGUUGUGUUUGUUCAACAUUACAACGUAUUUGAUUCUUGCUUGCAAAGCAAAGAUAAUUAAAAAUAUUUGUGUUUCUUUACCUCACUGUCACAGCUGGUUUGAAUUUUGAUAGGUGGGGCUUUUCGGUAAGCGGGCUAGUAAGAUUAAGGCCCCGUUGAGACCGGGACGAAGUCAAACUGGAAUGAAAAUUGAAAUUGUCAACAUGUUUACAUGAGACUGGAACGAAAAUUGCAAAAUUUUCAAUUUAUUCCCCUUGCCAGGCAAUUUUCUUUUUUAGAUGGUUUUUGUUAGCAUGUGUUGUUCCAAUGUCAAGGUUACAGCCGAGACCCGUCUGAAAUGUAUUUGUGUUUACAUUCAUCCCGGUCUGAAGUCAGUCGGCUCGAUCCAGCAGGUGGAAUGACUUGAGACCUGUCUGAGUUAUUUUUGUCCAGGUGUCAUGUAAACAUCUAUUAUAAAUAAUACUAUAACCGAAACGAAAUAGUCCCGGUUUGACUUUGUUCCGGUCUCAUGUAAAUGGGGUCUUUAGAAUUUAAAGUUCGUAGGCUGAGCAUGGUUUGAAAAGUAGCAGUGUAAAGCCUUUUUUCAACAUGGGCUGGGCUGGCUGGCAAGGAUUCAGAGAGUGCUAAACAAAUAGAAAGGACAGUAUUUGUUAAAUUUAAAAGCAUAUUAACUUGAUUUACUGGUACAGCAGAUGCCUGGAGUCAAAAUGAAGUUGAAAAAAAACUUCCAAUCAAAUUCUAUCAGUUGGCAUUGUCACAACAUAAUAUAAACAUUUCAAGAAGCAAUAACUGUGGUAAACAACCCAACAUCUAGAAAAAAAACAUUAGAGCAAAGAAAAUAUGAUUUUUUCAUCCCGCUAGCCAAGCUAUUCACACCCUCAGUAAAAUUCUCAUAAAUUUUUGUAGAUGUACAAUGCAAGUUCCAAGAAUGUCACAAGAUCUCAUGAUUAUCAAAAUUUAUUGUACACAUUCCAAGAUCCUGAAUAAGAGGUAAACUAGGUUACCCACAGGGCAGUAAUGCUUCCUUUGACAGCAAAAGACAAACUACAGGGUGUUGAACGAGUCCUUCAGAAACAUCCUAUUAUUGUUUAGCCUGCAUGGCAGGCGGUUCCUAAAAUUGGGCAAGCCUGGGAAAUACCGCCUGCCAUACGGGCUAAUUAUUGUUAUCCUUGUAACCCAUUUAUUGACAGUACCCUACCACUGACUGAGUAUUAAAAAUCGUGUGGCGUUGGACAGGGUAAAUACUAAAGUAGGGGUCAUUACUGUGCUGAUGAAUUAACAAGAGCCAUUGGCAGAUAGGUUUGUUAAUCCAUUUACUGGCAGUACCCUAUACCACUGACGAGUAAAAUCUUCUGGCGCUCAACAAGGGAAGGGUGCAUUGCCAGCUAAUGGGUUAAACCACCGUGGUUAAACAUAAAAUUUCAUGAUGCUCCAGGAAAUGUAAACAAGCUAUCAGUGUGACAUCCCAGUUUAUAUAUUUAUAUACUCGGAAUAUUGAUUUCUCGGUAUAUACAAAAUUAUUUUAAAGUAUAACAACCAGCGAAGACGUAAGGCACUAACUACCCUGCGCGGCUGCGCGCAGACUAUAUAACGACAUAUAUAUGUCAUCCGUCCGGUCCGUCCGUCAUUCAUCUGUCCGUCCAUAUCCGCGUUUUAUCCUAACCCGUUUUUAAAACACAAAGUUUGCAUUUAAUUAAGGCAGUGCGGUUCGUCAUGAUCAAUAUUUUCAAAAGUGGCCAAUUAGACGAGGGGUUAAAGGGCAAAGACAAUGACAUGCAGGUGACAUUUAACAUUGCGUCUCACUAAUUAAAAUUUGCGUGUUUAAUAGUGUUUAUCAAAGCACAGUUAAUUCCUAUUUCUAUUAACUGUGAUCAAAGAAAGCAAAAAUAUAUACAAGACAAUCUCACAUGUGGAGUUUUUUCACUUACAGUACGUACUGCCUUGUGAUGCAGUACAAGUAUAAAUACAAAUGACAAAGCAUUUGUAAAUCCUAAAACAUAAUUAAAUCAUACGGCACAUUUAAGAUUUUAAUAUCGUAUUUCAGCCGCGUUUAUACUGUUUGGUGCAUUCGCUGCGUUAUAUUAAUUUACAUGUAGGCUAUAUACACAGAAAAGCAUGUCAUUGUCCUUGCAGACCAUAGGCAAAAAGCAUUUGUCAACCAUGCACAUACCAAAUUUAAGCAAUCGUUAAAUCAUAUACAUGUCAUGGAAAGAAUAUGGAAAUAAUGUUGAAUGAAAGCUAGUAUCGCGUAUUAAUAUUAAAAGCACCGCAUAUAGUGCUCGAACCACUGCGUAUAAUUGCAAAAGCAUCGUGUAUAUAAAUGGUGAAAGCACCGCGUAUAAUACUGGAACCACCGCGUAUAAUGGCGAAAGCACCGUGUAUAAUGCCAAAAGCACCGGCGUAUAAUGCUAAAAGCACCCAACACAAUGCCGUUUGAUCACUUUAAGCCAGCUAUGGCUUUCCAUAAAAGAAGACCAAAGAUGAAACAUGAUCACAUUGCCUGUUUGCCAUAUUGCCUGACCGCGCUGCACCACGGUUAAAAUUCACUGGUACCGUCAUGCAAUGCACCAAAUAGAAAAUUUUGAUUUCGACCCACAAAACAAAAUUAGGAUCUGCUGCCUUGCUCGCUCGCUUCAGGCUCGCUCGCUGCGGCAGCAAUUAUUUUUCUUCUAAUUGUUUCUAACCUUCUCCUUGUAUUUUUUUGACAAUUUUCUUUGUAAUAUAUUAAUUUGUUUCAUGUUCUUAAUGGUGAGUUUUUUUAAUUUUCUAGAUGUGUGUUGCAAUUUCAAAGAAUGUCUCAAGUUGUUGGCCGAAGUGAUUUUGAUCUCAAAAGUGAAUGCUGUCAUUGGAAAGUAUAUAUAAAAGGUCUUAAUAUUUUCCUGUCUUAUCUUGCAUGAAAUGUUUUGAACAUUAUAUGAUUGCUUGUGAUCAAUAGUUUCAAAAAAUCCCAGUAGAAUAUUGCAAAAAUAGCAUGACCAUGUUACUUUUAUGACAAAAUAACAACAAAAAUAAUAAACACAAUCUUUACGCCUAAAUAUGGCGAGUGCUCAAUAAUUGCAUUUUUUUAUUCUAUUAGUAAUUUGGAAAAUUUCUUGUGACUUGUAUUAAUUUGGAAAAUUUCAGUUUUGUGGUCCCUCGAUUACUUGAUUAAUUUUCGUGUCACUGAUCACAAAAAUUAUAUAAUUUUCAAAGCAUAUAAACAUAUGGGCAAGCCAGAAAAUGACAAACUCUCUGUGUUUUAAAAAAAAUUGUUUAAUUAAACAGUGAUGAUUUUGAGUUUAUCUGUGUUCUAUCUGAGAACAUAGUUGUUUCUACAUAUUUUCGAAGUUUUUGUCAAAUGUAACAAAAAAUGAAAAGUUUGUCAGUAUUUGGCUUUGUUACAUCAGUUAAACAUUGAGAAGAUUGAUGUGGUUUUUAUUACAAACCACUUUGGUUUCUUACAAACAAAUAAGACAUGUGACUUAGUCAUCUUUCAUGUUUUGGUAUUAAUUUGGAAUAUGUUUUAAAGGAUUAAAAGAACAUUGAUGAACAUUUGUCUCAUCAUAAUUUGUGUUUUGAACUUGUCAAAGUGCAAUUGUAAAAACAGUAAGCUUGCAUCCCAUCUCAAUCUUCUCUUGUUUAAGUGGACUUUCAGUGUUUGUUGAAAGUUUGGAAAGUUUGUCUGAAAAUCACAAUCUUUCAUUCAAUGUUGAUUCUGGAGGUUUUCAAAUAUUGAAUCUUACAAAAAGCAAUUAGUGAUCAAUUGAAGUAUACAAUACUUUUAAAAUUAGCACUGUUAGAACUGCCUUGUUGUUUAAUAGUCCUGUCUUAUUUAUCCCAGCACACUCUUAAUACAUGAGUUUGAUUAUUCCUGGAUGCAAAUAAAAUGGAUUUGUUGAAGAACAAAGCAGUUUUAUACACUACUGACUUAUGGGAGGGUUGUGUUCUUCAGUUGUUUUUUUUUCUGAUUCUAGUGCCAACCACAUUGUGGUUUUAACAAAAUUUGAAUUUUGGAACAAACUUUGUGAUUUUUAAAAAACCUUUCCCAACUUUAAAAAACAAACAGUUAAGGUCGAAAUAAUUAGCUAGGAUAUGUUGUCUUUACUUAUAAUUACAAAGUGGAACUUAUUUGGAUAUGGGUGAACUGAAGCAGCAAACUAUACUUAAUUUUGGGGUAAUGUGAGAUGGAGAAAAUAACAUUAAAGUAAUCAGCAAUGGCGGAAAAACAAUCAGCAAUGAAAAGUAUAUAUUACAGUAAUUGUUUGGUAAAGCCAUCCAAUAAUUGGAAUAUUGAGGCUGAAGAUAAGAUUGACAAUUCUUGGUCCUACAUGUAUGUGUUAAUCAAUGCAUAAUUUGAUAAGAUUUGAAUGAAAAUUCAAGCAUGGAACUAGCCAUAUUUUUAGUAUUCAUCAAAAUUUGUGUGUGUUUCAUCAAACACAAGAUAUGCAAUAGCCAAUACUGAGAUGCUCUUUAUGUACCAGAUUUUAUAAUCUGAAUAAAAAGUUCUAGAUUUAAAAAUAUUAUUUUUAUUUUAAAUAAUCUGAUUGACCUAUGAUAAAUCCUAAUUUAUUUUAAGUGUGAAAUUUUUAAGCUUGAAUUUCAUAUUUUAUUUUGAUUUUUUAAUCCGAUUCAAUUAACUAAUUUCGUACUUUGCUUUGCAUACUAACUGAGAUGACAAGAUUUUAAAUUUUUAUUGGCUGGUUGUGGUUAAUAAUUGUUUGGCAAUUAAAAUUAAUUUGUUAGUUUUCUAUAUUUAUAUGUAUUUCUUUUGCUUCAGUUCAACAUUAUUUUCAAAUAGUUCCACUUUGUAAUGGUGUGUUAUAAUAGUCAUAAUAAUAAUAUAAGCAAACAGGUUUACAUGGCACUCGAACAUGGUCUUUUCAGCGAGUAUGUAAAGGUAAGUUUAUACUUCAAAAAGGUCUGUUUUAACCUGACAAGAAUGCUGUCCAAAAUUAACUAAAAAUAUUUUUAACUUUCAAUGAAAUUUCAUAUGUUCAAUCAACAACAGCUACUACUGUAUAUGUCUUUUGAUGUUUGUGUUUGGUUUGCUCAUGUUGAUACUAGAAAUUGAUGAAAAUGCAAUAUGAUAUUUUGUUUGUUGAGAGAGAUUCUAAGGAUUGCAUGGAAACUGUUGUUCCUUGUGAGGACUUGAGCAAAACUGUUUGUCUACUUUUGAAUUAACAAAGUAUACCCAAAACUUAUUUCCUGUUUUUCAUUAUGCAAAGCCAUAAGCUCUUUUCCAAUUGAAAAUUUCUGUUUGGUUUGACCAAAAUAAAUAAAAGUGUUAAAAGAUAUUUAUGAACAUUUGAAAGCUUGGUUCAACCAUAUUUUGUGUGUUUCUGUACGUCGCUACAUGUUUUGCGUCAGAAAAAUUUCCCGAAACAUUUUUUGUAAAUGAUAUAAAUGUCAGAUGAUAUAAAACAGGACAAUUUUUUCCCUAAGUAAAAUUUAGGAGAUGUUUGUUUAUAAAAUAGUGGAUCAGUGUGUAUGAUCUUGUUGUAUUUAUCGAUAGGACGAGAAAUGUACCAGUUUAAGCAAAGCAAAUUGAAACUGAAUUUUUGUUUGAAAAAUCAAUCAGAAUUGGAGAAAUAACAUUCUUUUAAAAUUUUGUUGAACUGUAUUUUCAUCACUUGAAUUAGUAUUAACAUUAUGUAUAAUCAAUUCAAAGUUGUCAGGUUAAAAACGACGCUCAAAGAUAUAUAUGGCUCCGAAAGACCAGGAUAAUUUCAAAUUCUUAAAUAUUUCCUGAUUUGGCACUUGAAAGAAAUGUUCUUAUAUAUGUUCAAUUGAGUAUGGAACCGAUGAUCUAGUCGUAAUGUUUCGAUGUUUAAAAAUAUCAUUUCUGAGUUUAAUGAAGUAUACUGUCAGUGCAUUGACCAUUGUGGAAAUGUUAAGACACUUUGAGGAAAUUAAUUUACUAAUUCAAGCAAUAUAAUUUGUUGACAACUGAUCGCGCAUUACAACGAAUGGACUUCUCUUAGCAUCUAAACAUCGCGAUGAUUUUCAUACUCAAGUGAACAUUUUGGUCACUUUACCAAAAACAGUUGGUUGUAUUAAAAAAAAAGUAAAAGCAUGUUUGAUUGACUUUGUCUUUGAGCCAUAUAUUUUCCUUGUAAAACAACCUGGUGUGACGCUUUGGAUUUGUCCGUCAAAUUCGAAAAAAUUAUCAUUAGAGUUGUUUUACAAUAUUUAUUUUGAAGUAUAAACAUUUAUCUUGAAAAGACCAGGUUCUCUUGUUUCCUCAAGAAUUAACUUUUUAAUGUUAAUUCGCGGGCAAACAAGUUUUUAAUGUUGUGCUUAUUCACUUGUGCUUAUUCACUUGUGUUGAACACAAUGUUAAUUGUUCUCUUUGUGCCAUGUUCUGUUUUCUUCUAUUGUUAUUUGAAUAAGUGUGCAGUGGUUGUUCUCUCUUUAUUGUUAUUCAAUUUGUAAUUACAAUUCUUUUCAAUAAAUUGUUCAUUAAUUAUACAAGAGACUCCUUUUUAAUUAAAAAUUCAAUUCCCAUGGGAAUUGAAAAAAAAAAUAAAAAAAAUUCCCCCACCCCGGCCGGCUCCCCAAGUGCCACCUCUACUUCAAGCAGAAGUACUUCUACUAUAUAGUAAAAGUACUUCUACUUAAAGUAGAGGUAGCACUCGGAGAGCCAGCCGGGGUAGCGAGGCGAAGAGAAGACCAACCUUGCAAAUGCAAAAUAAUGCAAAUUGCUAAGUCGAUCUUUUCUUGAGAGCAGCCACGCACAUACCUGGCAAAUAAUGUAAAACAACAAGCAAUUAGUAACAAAUACUCGACAUGCAAAUUUUGAAUCCCAUGGCCGAAAUGACAAGUGCCCCCCACUGAUUCCUACCAACUGCCUACCUGCCUCAAUCCUAAGCUGUCUGCCUCAGUCCUAAGCUGUCUGCCUUGGUCCUAAGCUACCUGCAUUCCAUUCGUAACUUCCGCUUUCCUCACCAUCACACAGACACUCGCAACUGCCCAACCUGCCACCAGCCUGAACUGCCCACCCUUAAAACUGAAGGAAUUAAAAUUUUGGCAAAGUAUACAUAAUUAAUUUAAUUUAAUCGGAUAUUUUAGGGCAAACGUAAACAGAUAAAUUAAAAGGUUGACAAAUCAGACGAAAGACCGCGUAUACAAACAGGUGAGUUUCUUACUUGCUUUUAUAUACAUGAAUAUACGAAACCUCAAAAUCCGGAUUUUUCCUUUUAUAUGCUUUACUAGCAGGCUAUAAUUUUUGUUUAAAUAACGAAACUCAACACAUUUUGCAGAUGUUAGGAAAUUAGUCAUUUGUCAAUGUUCAGAAAAAAAUAUUUUCUCUUUAAAUAUGCUCUCAAAAUUUUAAUUCCUUUAGUUUAGCCUAACCCCAUGCAUCCUAUACACACGGCGCACACUCUCGCACUCCAUACAUUUAGUUAAUAAAUUACGUUAUAAACAAAAAAUCAAAAUAAAAAGAUAAAUUACGUUAUCACUAGCUAUCCUAUAACCCACUUAGACUGCGUUUUGGAUUCUGGUUCGAAACGUAAGAUCUUAACUGAAAGGGCAUGGGCUUGAGUUUUGUUAACUGGUCCGAAAUAAAUACAAACCUUAAACUUACCUAAACCAAAGGCUCGAUUAAAUAAGCAUGAGAAUUAUUUUUAAAACUUUUUCAUAAGAGUUUAAAAUCCAAACGAAAAUUACAAUGUCGCUAAUUUAGUGAGCAUAUAGUACUGUUUGUCUAUAUAGUUCAAACAGAUCGAACGCACUUCUCAUACUCAUUUAACCGGAACGCCUUGAUGAUCAUUUGCAUGGCACGUCGCAGCUGCUCUCAAGUAACAAGAUACUUAUCAUAUUUAAUCAAAGGGGAUUCAUUAUAAUAUUCAAAUUUCC